rnacentral:rRNA from 1 species
AGGACGAACGCUGGCGGCGUGCUUAAUACAUGCAAGUCAACUGACUUUAGAUAGCAAUAUCGAAAAGUAGGGUGGCGCACGGGUGCGUAACGCGUAGGUAAUCUGCCCUGAGGUCUGACAUAACCCGUCGAAAGGCGGGCUAACAUCAGAUGAUAUAUAAUCACGACAUCGUGGAAAUAUCAAAUCUUCGGAGCCUUGGGAUGAGCCUGCGUCUGAUUAGGUAGUUGGCGGAGUAAUAGCCCACCAAGCCUACGAUCAGUAGCUGGUCUGAGAGGAUGAUCAGCCACACUGGAACUGAGACACGGUCCAGACUCCUACGGGAGGCAGCAGUAAGGAAUAUUGCUCAAUGGGGGAAACCCUGAAGCAGCAACGCCGCGUGAAGGAUGAAAUACUUUGUAUGUAAACUUCUGUAAGAUGGGAAAAUAUUCUCCUCGGGAGAAUUGAUUGUACCAUCAGAGUAAGCCCCGGCUAACUACGUG